UCUCCUCUUGUUACACAGUACAUCUCAGCUUUUUCACCGGGACUACUUUCUCCGCUGCAUUAGACCAUUAUGGCAACAAAACCAAGAAUCUUGAAGAAGAAAACGAAGACCAUCCUUUCCAUUAAAGUGCUUAAGAAUUUUUUUCGGCCUUAUCCUAAUCGAGGAUAAUGUUAAACAAUCGCAGCCUUGGAUAGUCCACUUACAAAUC
rnacentral:lncRNA from 1 species